rnacentral:miRNA from 14 species
CCCGGGAGCGGGGGACCACCAGGUUGCCUAAGGAGGGGUGAACCGGCCCAGGUCGAAAAUCACAUCUCCUGAUGAUGAUAGAGGG